rnacentral:lncRNA from 1 species
AGCAUGCAAGAAAACUAAAAAAAAAAUGUUUUCACAAUUCGUCUCAAAAUCAAUACUUAUACAAUUUAAAAUGACGAUUGGGUGUACACUUGAUAUUUACUAGUAAAAAUUUAAUAAUGAUGCUAGCUGUGAAACUUACUAGAUAAAAUAAUAGAAAUAAAUAACUAAAAAUAUCAUACCAAUUUAUAUAUACUACAUA